rnacentral:rRNA from 1 species
AUUGAACGCUGGCGGCAGGCCUAACACAUGCAAGUCGAGCGGAGCGGCGGACGGGUGAUUAAUGCCUAGGUAUCUGCCUGGUUGUGGGGGAUAACGUCCGGAAACGGGCGCUAAUACCGCAUACUAUCAGAUGAGCCUAGGUCGGAUUAGCUAGUUGGUGGGGUAAAGGCCUACCAAGGCGACGAUCCGUAACUGGUCUGAGAGGAUGAUCAGUCACACUGGAACUGAGACACGGUCAAGAGUCCUACGAGAGGCAGCAGUGGGGAAUAGUGGACAAUGGGCGAAAGGCUGAUCCAGCCAUGCCGCGUGUGUGAAGAAGGUCUGCGGAUUGUAAAGCACUUUAAGUUGAGAAGAGUUACCAACAGAAUAAGCACCGGCUAACUUCGUGCCAGCAGCCGCGGUAAUAC